AGCAGCCGCGGUAAUUCCAGCUCCAAUAGCGUAUAUUAAAGUUGUUGCAGUUAAAAAGCUCGUAGUUGAACUUCAGGCCUGGCUGGACGGUCCGCCUUCCGGGCGAGCACUGUCUGUGGUCGGUCCUACCUUCUGGCGAAGCGUCAUGGCCUUAACCGGCUGUGGCGGGGAACCAGGACUUUUACUGUGAAAAAUUAGAGUGUUCAAAGCAGGCAAUUCGCUUGGAUACAUUAGCAUGGAAUAAUGGAAUAGGACAAUGGUUCUAUUUGUUGGUUUCUAGGACUGUUGUAAUGAUUAAUAGGGAUAGUUGGGGGCAUUAGUAUUCAAUUGUCAGAGGUGAAAUUCUUGGAUUUAUUGAAGACUAACUACUGCGAAAGCAUUUGCCAAGGAUGUUUUCAUUAAUCAAGAACGAAAGUUAGGGGAUCGAAGACGAUCAGAUACCGUCGUAGUCUUAACCAUAAACUAUGCCGACUAGGAAUCGGGCGAUGUUGACAAAAUGACGCGCUCGGA
rnacentral:rRNA from 1 species